rnacentral:misc_RNA from 1 species
UAAUAAGUGUUUUAUGGCACUUUUUUAAAUCCAUAUCCACCUUGUGUGCAAUGUCAGUCGAUCUUCUUCAUGGAGAUCGACCAAACAUCAACCUUUAUCUUUUAACUCUUUGUCUGAAAAAUAUUAUGAAUAAACUAAUUCAAAAUA